GACGAACGCUGGCGGCGUGCUUAACACAUGCAAGUCGAACGAUGAAGCCUAGCUUGCUAGGUGGAUUAGUGGCGAACGGGUGAGUAAUACGUGAGUGACCUACCUUUGACUCUGGGAUAAGCUUGGGAAACUGGGUCUAAUACCGGAUACGACCAAUCUCCGCAUGGGGUGUUGGUGGAAAGCGUUAUGGAGUGGUUUUAGAUGGGCUCACGGCCUAUCAGCUUGUUGGUGAGGUAAUGGCUUACCAAGGCGACGACGGGUAGCCGGCCUGAGAGGGUGACCGGCCACACUGGGACUGAGACACGGCCCAGACUCCUACGGGAGGCAGCAGUGGGGAAUAUUGCACAAUGGGCGCAAGCCUGAUGCAGCGACGCCGCGUGAGGGAUGACGGCCUUCGGGUUGUAAACCUCUGUUAGCAUCGAAGAAGCGAAAGUGACGGUAGGUGCAGAGAAAGCGCCGGCUAACUACGUG
rnacentral:rRNA from 1 species